rnacentral:rRNA from 1 species
GACGAACGCUGGCGGCGUGCUUAACACAUGCAAGUCGAACGGAAAGGCCUUUUCGGAGGUACUCGAGUGGCGAACGGGUGAGUAACACGUGGGUGAUCUGCCCUGCACUCUGGGAUAAGCCUGGGAAACUGGGUCUAAUACCGGAUAGGACUGCACUUUAGUGUGUGUGGUGGAAAGUUUUUUCGGUGUAGGAUGAGCCCGCGGCCUAUCAGCUUGUUGGUGGGGUAAUGGCCUACCAAGGCGGCGACGGGUAGCCGGACUGAGAGGUUGGUCGGCCACAUUGGGACUGAGAUACGGCCCAGACUCCUACGGGAGGCAGCAGUGGGGAAUAUUGCACAAUGGGCGCAAGCCUGAUGCAGCGACGCCGCGUGGGGGAUGACGGCCUUCGGGUUGUAAACUCCUUUCGCCAGGGACGAAGCGUUUUGUGACAGUACCUGGAGAAGAAGCACCGGCUAACUACGUGCCAGCAGCCGCGGUAAUACGUAGGGUGCAAGCGUUGUCCGGAAUUACUGGGCGUAAAGAGCUCGUAGGUGGUUUGUCACGUCGUCUGUGAAAUUCCACAGCUUAACUGUGGGCGUGCAGGCGAUACGGGCUGACUUGAGUACUGUAGGGGUAACUGGAAUUCCUGGUGUAGCGGUGAAAUGCGCAGAUAUCAGGAGGAACACCGAUGGCGAAGGCAGGUUACUGGGCAGUUACUGACGCUGAGGAGCGAAAGCAUGGGUAGCAAACAGG